rnacentral:rRNA from 1 species
CGAGCGGACGAUGGGAGCUUGCUCCCUGAUGUUAGCGGCGGACGGGUGAGUACACGUGGGUACCUGCCUGUAAGACUGGGAUAACUCCGGGAACCGGGGCUAAUACCGGAUGGUUGUUUGAACCGCAUGGUUCAAACAUAAAAGGUGGCUUCGGCUACCACUUACAGAUGGACCCGCGGCGCAUUAGCUAGUUGGUGAGGUAACGGCUCACCAAGGCAACGAUGCGUAGCCGACCUGAGAGGGUGAUCGGCCACACUGGGACUGAGACACGGCCCAGACUCCUACGGGAGGCAGCAGUAGGGAAUCUUCCGCAAUGGACGAAAGUCUGACGGAGCAACGCCGCGUGAGUGAUGAAGGUUUUCGGAUCGUAAAGCUCUGUUGUUAGGGAAGAACAAGUACCGUUCGAAUAGGGCGGUACCUUGACGGUACCUAAC